rnacentral:tRNA from 1 species
GGGAUUGUGGCUCAGUGGUAGAGCGCUCAUCUCCCACAUGCAAAACCCUGAGUUUGAUCCUUAGCACCA